rnacentral:rRNA from 1 species
CGAGACGACGCUGGCGCGUGCCUAUACAUGCAAGUCGAGCGGACCUAAUUAAGAAGCUUGCUUUUUGAUUGGUUAGCGGCGGACGGGUGAGUAACACGUGGGUAACCUGCCCUAUAGACUGGGAUAACUCGCGGAAACGCGAGCUAAUACCGGAUAACACAUCGAAGCGCAUGCUUCGGUGUUGAAAGAUGGUUCUGCUAUCACUAUAGGAUGGGCCCGCGGCGCAUUAGCUAGUUGGUGGGGUAACGGCCUACCAAGGCGACGAUGCGUAGCCGACCUGAGAGGGUGAUCGGCCACACUGGGACUGAGACACGGCCCAGACUCCUACGGGAGGCAGCAGUAGGGAAUCUUCCACAAUGGGCGAAAGCCUGAUGGAGCAACGCCGCGUGAGCGAAGAAGGUCUUCGGAUCGUAAAGCUCUGUUGUAAGGGAAGAACAAGCGCAGCAGUAACUGGCUGCGCCCUGACGGUACCUUACUAGAAAGCCACGGCUAACUACGUG